GGAGGGUAUAUAGCUCAGUGGCAGAACAUGUGCUUAGGAUGCAUGAGGUCCUGGGUUCAAUCCCCAGUAUCUCCA